rnacentral:rRNA from 1 species
CUACACACGUGCUACAAUGGUCGGUACAAAGGGUUGCCAAGCCGCGAGGUGGAGCCAAUCCCUUAAAGCCGAUCGUAGUCCGGAUCGUAGUCUGCAACUCGACUACGUGAAGUCGGAAUCGCUAGUAAUCGCAGAUCAGCAUGCUGCGGUGAAUACGUUCCCGGGUCUU